rnacentral:rRNA from 1 species
CCUACGGGAGGCAGCAGUGGGGAAUAUUGGGCAAUGGGCGCAAGCCUGACCCAGCAACGCCGCGUGAAGGAAGAAGGCUUUCGGGUUGUAAACUUCUUUUAAGAGGGAAGAGCAGAAGACGGUACCUCUUGAAUAAGCCACGGCUAACUACGUGCCAGCAGCCGCGGUAAUACGUAGGUGGCAAGCGUUGUCCGGAUUUACUGGGUGUAAAGGGCGUGUAGCCGGGCUGACAAGUCAGAUGUGAAAUUCCGGGGCUCAACCCCGGACCUGCAUUUGAAACUGUUGGUCUUGAGUAUCGGAGAGGCAGGCGGAAUUCCUAGUGUAGCGGUGAAAUGCGUAGAGAUCAAGAGGAAUACUCAUUGCGAAGGCGACCUGCUAGAACAUAACUGACGCUGAUGCGCGAAAGCGUGGGGAGCAAACAGGAUUAGAUACCCUUGUAGUC